GUGGGGAAUCUUAGACAAUGGGGGAAACCCUGAUCUAGCCAUGCCGCGUGAGCGAUGAAGGCCUUAGGGUUGUAAAGCUCUUUCAGCUGGGAAGAUAAUGACUGUACCAGCAGAAGAAGCCCCGGCUAACUCCGUGCCAGCAGCCGCGGUAAUACGGAGGGGGCUAGCGUUGUUCGGAAUUACUGGGCGUAAAGCGCACGUAGGCGGACCGGAAAGUCAGAGGUGAAAUCCAAGGGCUCAACCUUGGAACUGCCUUUGAAACUCCUGGUCUUGAGGUCGAGGGAGGUGAGGGGAAUUCCGAGUGUAGAGGUGAAAUUCGUAGAUAUUCGGAGGAACACCAGUGGCUAAGGCGGCUCACUGGCUCGAUACUGACGCUGAGGUGCGAAAGCGUGGGGAGCAAACAGGAUUAGAAACCCCAGUAGUCC
rnacentral:rRNA from 1 species